rnacentral:sRNA from 3 species
CGUCGCUCAACGAGUCCCUCGUUGAUGACAACUAAAAUUAUACAAGAACUCCUCUUUGACAGGCCGAUAGCAAUAUCGGCCUUCUUUUU